rnacentral:sRNA from 1 species
GCCCAAAUCGCACGUGCCUGUGGUCGUGUGUCGGUUGGCGGGGUCCGGACAAGAGGCCGGUUAACCGUCAGUAAAAACCGGCAGCCGGAGGCGAACCGGCGAACCCCGCCAAACGGGGGACGCGACUUAAAGCAACGACGGACCGGGCUUUU